GAUGAACGCUGGCGGCGUGCCUAAUACAUGCAAGUCGUACGGAAAGGCCCUUCGGGGUACUCGAGUGGCGGACGGCUGAGUAACGCGUGGGAACGUGCCCCAAAGUGAGGGAUAACGCACCGAAAGGUGUGCUAAUACCGCAUAUGGUCUUCGGAUUAAAGCUUCGGCGCUUUGGGAGCGGCCCGCGUACGAUUAGAUAGUGGGUGAGGUAAUGGCUCACCAAGUCGACGAUGGUUAGCUGGUCUGAGAGGAUGAUCAGCCAGACUGGGACUGAGACACGGCCCAGACUCCUACGGGAGGCAGCAGUAAGGAAUCUUCCACAAUGGGGGCAACCCUGAUGGAGCAACGCCGCGUGCAGGAUGAAGGUUUUCGGAUCGUAAACUGCUUUUAUAAGUGAAGAAUAUGACGGUAACUUAUGAAUAAGGAUCGGCUAACUACGUGCCAGCCGCCGCGGUAU
rnacentral:rRNA from 1 species